UUCCGCCAGUCGGUGGCCGG
rnacentral:miRNA from 1 species